rnacentral:tRNA from 1 species
GGGCCUGUAGCUCAGCUAGGUAGAGCACCUGGCUUUUAACCAGGUGGCCAGGGGUUCGAAAGAUUGGCCGAAAAUCCCCUCAGGCCCG